rnacentral:rRNA from 1 species
AGUCUGCAACUCGACUGCAUGAAGCUGGAAUCGCUAGUAAUCGCGGAUCAGAAUGCCGCGGUGAAUACGUUCCCGGGUCUUGUACACACCGCCCGUCACACCAUGGGAGUCGGAAAUGCCCGAAGUCAGUGACCCAACCGUAAGGAGGGAGCUGCCGAAGGUGGAGCCGGUAACUGGGGUGAAGUCGUAACAAGGUAUC